ACCACCUGGGAAUUUUGUUAAAAUGCAGAUUCUGAUUCACCGACUCUGAAAAUUCUGCAUUUCUAACAAAUUCCCCAGAGAUGCAGA
rnacentral:pre_miRNA from 1 species